rnacentral:rRNA from 1 species
CUUACAAUGAAAAUAACCUUAGGGCUUUCUUAUAAUGUAAAUUAAGGGCAAGGAGAAAGAAAAUAUGUUAGUUGUACCUUUUGUAUCAGGGGAGUUUAAAAUUGUAAUAAUAUUUUAAUCGAUUAAAGCGGAUCUUUAUAUUAAAUUUUUAGUUGGAUUUAAAGAUUGUAAAGAAUUAAGGGGUGAAAAGUGUACGGCGCUUAGGGUAUCUAGUUGUUUUAUGUAUAAAUGGUUAAGCUUUUAUAUAUCUAAAAUAUUAGUAAGGUGUUAAGAGCUAGGCUUUAGAUUAGCUAUGUUGGUAAAUUGUUUUAAGUAAUUUAUUUAGAUUUUUUUAGGUUAGAGUGUAUAGACAAUGCUUAAAUAUUUAGAUAAGCAGCAGUAAUGAAUUUAUUGAAUAAUAAAAGAAGAUUGAAAAUAACUCAAGUAUGUUAGAAAGUUUAGCAAAAACAUUUCUAUUUGUAAAAAUAAAAGUAAAACCUGCCCGGUGCCGAGUUAACGGCUGCGGUAUUUUGACCGUGCUAAGGUAGCAUAAUCAUUUGCUUUUUAAUUGAAAGCUGGCAUGAAAGGUUAAACUAAUUUAUUCAGUUUGUAAAUCUAGUUAGGAGCUUUAAGUUAAGGUAAUAAUUCUUUAAUUUUCUAGGGGACGAUAAGACCCUAGAAGCUUAAUGAAUAUUGAUUUUUUUAGUUAUAAAUUUAAAUUUGUUUGACUGGGGCGGUAUUUACAAGUAAACUGUUUUUUUAUUGAGGGAUCUUUAAUAUUAAGAAAUAACGGGUAAGUUACUCUAGGGAUAACAGUGCGAUAUAUUUAGAGAGAUCUUAUCGAUAAAUAUGAUUGCAACCUCGAUGUU